AUUGAACGCUGGCGGCAGGCCUAACACAUGCAAGUCGAGCGGAUGAAGGGAGCUUGCUCCUGGAUUCAGCGGCGGACGGGUGAGUAAUGCCUAGGAAUCAGCCUGGUAGUGGGGGAUAACGUCCGGAAACGGGCGCUAAUACCGCAUACGUCCUGAGGGAGAAAGUGGGGGAUCUUCGGACCUCACGCUAUCAGAUGAGCCUAGGUCGGAUUAGCUAGUUGGUGGGGUAAAGGCCUACCAAGGAGACGAUCCGUAACUGGUCUGAGAGGAUGAUCAGUCACACUGGAACUGAGACACGGUCCAGACUCCUACGGGAGGCAGCAGUGGGGAAUAUUGGACAAUGGGCGAAAGCCUGAUCCAGCCAUGCCGCGUGUGUGAAGAAGGUCUUCGGAUUGUAAAGCACUUUAAGUUGGGAGGAAGGGCAGUAAGUUAAUACCUUGCUGUUUUGACGUUACCAACAGAAUAAGCACCGGCUAACUUCGUG
rnacentral:rRNA from 1 species